GACGAACGCUGGCGGCGUGCUUAACACAUGCAAGUCGAACGAAGUGGCGAACGGGUGAGUAAUACGUGGGUAACCUGCCCUCCUUUUUGGGAUAAGCCUUGGAAACGGGGUCUAAUACCGACUAAAGGGGGAUGGGCGCGCGGCCUAUCAGCUUGUUGGUGGGGUGAUGGCCUACCAAGGCGGUGACGGGUAGCCGGCCUGAGAGGGUGACCAGCGACAUGGGGCCUGCGGUACGGCCCAGACGCCGACGGGAGGCAGCAGGGGGGGAUAUUGCACAAGGGGGGAAAGCCUGAUGCAGCGACGCCGCGGGCGGGAUGACGGCCUUCGGGUUGUAAACCGCUUUCAGCGAUGACGCGGUAGUGGCAGAAGAAGCACCGGCUAACUACGUGCCAGCAGCCGCGGUAAUUC
rnacentral:rRNA from 1 species